rnacentral:rRNA from 1 species
GAUGAACGCUGGCGGCGUGCUUAACACAUGCAAGUCGAACGGAAAGGCUCCUGCUUGCCGGGGUACUCGAGUGGCGAACGGGUGAGUAACACGUGGGUGAUCUGCCCUGCACUUCGGGAUAAGCCUGGGAAACUGGGUCUAAUACCGGAUAGGACCACAUUUUGGAUGGUGUGGUGGAAAGUUUUUCGGUGUGGGAUGAGCUCGCGGCCUAUCAGCUUGUUGGUGGGGUAAUGGCCUACCAAGGCGUCGACGGGUAGCCGGCCUGAGAGGGUGUACGGCCACAUUGGGACUGAGAUACGGCCCAGACUCCUACGGGAGGUAGCAGUGGGGAAUAUUGCACAAUGGGCGCAAGCCUGAUGCAGCGACGCCGCGUGGGGGAUGACGGCCUUCGGGUUGUAAACUCCUUUCGCUAGGGACGAAGCGUUUUUGUGACGGUACCUGGAGAAGAAGCACCGGCUAACUACGUG